rnacentral:rRNA from 1 species
AAAAGAAAUAUUAAUAUAUAUAUAUAUAUAUAUAUAUAUAUAUUUGUAUUUAAUUGAUAAAGUUAAAUAGUAUAUAUUUACUAAUUAAAAUUUUAUGUUAUUAUAUAAUAUUAUUAAUUUAUUAAAUUAUUUUUAAUUUUUUUAAUAAAAGUUUAAUUCUGACUUAAAAAUUUAUUAUAAAUUUUUAUUUAAUAUAUAAAUUUUUGUGAAUAAAUAAUAUUUAUUUAAAUAGUUUAUAUUUUAUUUAUUUUAGUAUAUAAUAUUAUAUAAAAAUAUAAGUAGUUUUUUUUAUAGAAUAUAUUUAAUAAAAAUAGAAAAAUUUUGUGCCAGCAUUCGCGGUUAGACAAAUAUAUUUGAAUAAAUUUUUUUUUAAUUUUAUAGGUAUUAGAAUUAUUUAAAAUUAAUUUUAAUUAAUUAAUUUAAAUUAAGGUGAAAUUUUAUUAAAUUUUAAAUUAAAUUUUUUUAAUUUUUAAUAAUCUAUGAAAAUUAAUUUUUAAACUAGGAUUAGAUACCCUAUUAUUUUAUUUGUAAAUAAAUAUUUAUAAGUUUGUAAAAUAAAAAAUAUAAGGAUAAAUAAUGAUAUUUAUAUUAGUAUUUUUUAUGGUUUUAUUAAUAAUUUAAAUAAUGUUUUUAUUAGGAAAAAUUUUAAAAUUAGGUAGUAGAAGGUAUGUUCUUGAAACUUAAAGAAUUUGACGGUAAUUUAUUCAAUUUAGAGGAACUUGUUUUUUAAUUGAUAAUCCACGAUAAUAAAUACUUAAAUUUAUAUUUAAUAUUAUAUACAUACAUAUAUAUGUAUGUAUAUUAAUUAAAUUUAUUUGUAUAUCGUCGUUUGAAAAAAAUUUUAAUAGGUUAAAUAAUUUUUUUAAAAUUAUUAAUGAAUAUUUUUAUAGUAUUUAUUUAUAAUAAUAGAAAUUCAGAUAAAGGUGCAGUAUAUAUUUAAGUUAAAAUGAGUUACAAUAAAAUUAAUUUAUUUAUGAAUUUAAGAUUUUAAUAUCUUAAUGAAGGAGGAUUUAAAAGUAAAAUUAAUUAAUUAAUUAAUUUGAUAGGUGUUUUAAAUUAUGUACAUAUCGCCCGUCGCUCUCAUUAUAAUAUGAGAUAAGUCGUAACAAAGUAAGAGUACUGGAAAGUGUUUUUAGAAUUAAUUUUUUUAAGAUUUUGAUAGAUAGAUAAAUUAGUAAUAAAUUUUAUUUU